rnacentral:rRNA from 1 species
CUUGCUCCCGGAUGUUAGCGGCGGACGGGUGAGUAACACGUGGGUAACCUGCCUGUAAGACUGGGAUAACUCCGGGAAACCGGAGCUAAUACCGGAUAGUUCCUUGAACCGCAUGGUUCAAGGAUGAAAGACGGUUUCGGCUGUCACUUACAGAUGGACCCGCGGCGCAUUAGCUAGUUGGUGGGGUAAUGGCUCACCAAGGCGACGAUGCGUAGCCGACCUGAGAGGGUGAUCGGCCACACUGGGACUGAGACACGGCCCAGACUCCUACGGGAGGCAGCAGUAGGGAAUCUUCCGCAAUGGACGAAAGUCUGACGGAGCAACGCCGCGUGAGUGAUGAAGGUUUUCGGAUCGUAAAGCUCUGUUGUUAGGGAAGAACAAGUGCGAGAGUAACUGCUCGCACCUUGACGGUACCUAACCAGAAAGCCACGGCUAACUACGUGCCAGCAGCCGCGGUAAUACGUAGGUGGCAAGCGUUGUCCGGAAUUAUUGGGCGUAAAGGGCUCGCAGGCGGUUUCUUAAGUCUGAUGUGAAAGCCCCCGGCUCAACCGGGGAGGGUCAUUGGAAACUGGGAAACUUGAGUGCAGAAGAGGAGAGUGGAAUUCCACGUGUAGCGGUGAAAUGCGUAGAGAUGUGGAGGAACACCAGUGGCGAAGGCGACUCUCUGGUCUGUAACUGACGCUGAGGAGCGAAAGCGUGGGGAGCGAACAGGAUUAGAUACCCUGGUAGUCCACGCCGUAAACGAUGAGUGCUAAGUGUUAGGGGGUUUCCGCCCCUUAGUGCUGCAGCUAACGCAUUAAGCACUCCGCCUGGGGAGUACGGUCGCAAGACUGAAACUCAAAGGAAUUGACGGGGGCCCGCACAAGCGGUGGAGCAUGUGGUUUAAUUCGAAGCAACGCGAAGAACCUUACCAGGUCUUGACAUCCUCUGACAACCCUAGAGAUAGGGCUUUCCCUUCGGGGACAGAGUGACAGGUGGUGCAUGGUUGUCGUCAGCUCGUGUCGUGAGAUGUUGGGUUAAGUCCCGCAACGAGCGCAACCCUUGAUCUUAGUUGCCAGCAUUCAGUUG